rnacentral:rRNA from 1 species
GACAGAGGGUGCAAACGUUGCUCGGAAUUACUGGGCGUAAAGCGCGUGUAGGCGGAUCGGUGUGUCGGAUGUGAAAUCCCCGGGCUCAACCCGGGAACUGCAUUCGAAACUGCCGAUCUUGAGUGCCGGAGAGGGUAGCGGAAUUCCUGGUGUAGAGGUGAAAUUCGUAGAUAUCAGGAGGAACACCGGUGGCGAAGGCGGCUACCUGGACGGCUACUGACGCUGAGACGCGAAAGCGUGGGGAGCAAACAGG